UACAGAGGUCUCAAGCGUUGUUCGGAUUCAUUGGGCGUAAAGGGUGUGAUAGGUGGCGCCGUAAGUCGGGUGUGAAAUUUCGGGAGCUUAACUCCGAAACUGCAUUCGAUAACUGCGGUGCUUGAGGACUGGAGAGGAGACUGGGAAUUCGAUGGUGUAGCAGUGAAAUGCGUAGAGAUCAUGAGGAAGACCAGUGGCGAAGGCGGGUCUCUGGACAGUU
rnacentral:rRNA from 1 species